UACGAAGGGGGCUAGCGUUGUUCGGAAUCACCGGGCGUAAAGCGCACGUAGGCGGAUUUUUAAGUCAGGGGUGAAAUCCCGAGGCUCAACCUCGGAACUGCCUUUGAUACUGGGGAUCUCGAGUCCGGGAGAGGUGAGUGGAACUGCGAGUGUAGAGGUGAAAUUCGUAGAUAUUCGCAAGAACACCAGUGGCGAAGGCGGCUCACUGGCCCGGUACUGACGCUGAGGUGCGAAAGCGUGGGGAGCAAACAGG
rnacentral:rRNA from 1 species